UGCUGCGAAGGUCUGUUGAGGUGGCAGUGCAGUGCAUGUUGGAACCUCGUCACUCAGGUGGAGCAAGGUGCACGCCAUCAAGGCUGUGCAGAUAUUUCCAUAACAUUCAGCUACCAGCCGAACUGUGACCAACAUCCCCUUCAUCUCGCCGGCCCGGGACUCGGCACCGCAUUGCGAAGCCUGUAACCCGAGUGGCCUCCCAGAUACUUCAGAGAUACACCUCCGGAGCUAGGAACCAGCCAGCUACGAGGUAUGUGUCGACAGCUGACGUAGGAGUCUAGAGAGGACGGCAACACACCCUACUCUCACCACUGCCAGAGUCGCACUGACGGUGACGGGUCCAUUGCGGGGGACUCGGGGAGUCGGGGUCCCGCGGAGGCAGGGACCCUGGCGGCUGGCAGAUUUCCUAAAGCAGUGAAACCAGCGGCUUGAUCUUGAUCCUGAUGUCACGGGUGACUUGGGAUUUCCUGAUUUCUUGAUCCUGGUCUUGGUCGGGGAUCCUCUUCGUUGUGGUUGAGCUUUUUCCAACAACCAGACGAAGUGGACUGUUUGAAGAUUACACUGACGAGGAAAAAGUGAAACGGGUUCCCUAUGAGUUUUAAAAACGAAGAGAGAAACAGCAGACGACAACCACUCAAGAAUAGACUGGAAGGUAACCGCUAAAGGAAAGCCGUUGUAAAGGCUACCUCAACUGAACUAAAAUAAACUUUUAAUUCACUUUCUUCUCCAAUGCUCUACAUUUCAGAAAGACAGGAAAAAAAAUACAUAGAACUAGAGCAGCCGUAUGAGAAAAAAAAUCAGAAUGAUUUUAUAAGAUUUUUUUUAUAUUCAGAAAAGGAAACACAGAAUAUAAAAGAACUGCUGUCUGUAUGGAACAAAAGUGGAAUUUAAAUACAGGAGUAGAAUCCACAGUGAAAAAUAUUAGUGACAUAUGUGCCUUUACAAAGGCUGUGCUUCGCCCCUGAACAGACUGAAUCAGUGAACCAGUUGAAGGCGAAGGGGAGGGACGCUGAGCCGGAAACUGUUGCCUCUAUGACUGAGGCCUGACUUCAUAACACCACCAGUUAUCAAUGUCCGUCCAGAGGAUGGCCGGACGGCGACCAUUGUGAGAUUCACACCUUGAUCUCACACCUGGAGUCAAGCCAAGACGCUCCCCAUACGCCGACCGGUGACCGACAGGCAAGGACCAGUACGCGUCCUGUCGCAAUGAGGACGGCGACCGCCCUUGAUUAACGACCUGCUGCUGACAUGUUACAGUGAACUGGCUCGCAGCUAACGAGCUCCACCUGCCUGGGUUGUUGUUCGGAGCUGUCCUUCUCCUUGGUGAACUGCCUACCACAGCUAACGAGCCCCACCUGCCCGGGUUGUUGUUCGGAGUUGUCCUUCUCCUAAGUGAACUGCCUACCACGGCUAACGAGCCCCACCUGCCCCGGUUUGUUGUUCGGAGUUGUCCCUCUUCUAGGUGAAUUGCCUACCACUGCUAACGAGCCACACCUGCCUGGGUUUGUUGUUCGGAGUUGUCCCUCUCCUAGGUGAACUGCCUACCAUGGCUAAUGAGCCUCACCUGCCCGGGUUUGGUGUUAGGAGUUUGCUCUCCGAGGUGAACUGCCUCACGCUAACUAUCUCUACCUGCCCGGGUUUGUUGUUCGGAGUUUGCUCUCCUAGAUGGACUGCCUACCACGGCAAACGAGCCCCACCUGCCCGGGUUUGUUCGGAGUUUGCUCUCCUAGGUGAAUUGCCUACAACAGCUAACGAUCUCCACCUGCCCGGGUUUGUUGUUCGGAAUUGGCUCUCCUAGAUAGACUGCUUACCACGGCUAACGAGCCCCACCUACCCGGGCAGAUCUCCGACAUCGCGGACACCCCAGGGGACACCAAGGCGCCCUUCGGGAAACCCUCCAGUACUGCCACGCUCGCCAGGGAGACCUUGGGCUCGCUGGCGCUCCCCGCCGAGGCAAGGAGGGAAUAUGCAAGAACUCUCUUCUUAAAACUACCAGACUGGGGGUCUAUAGCCCCCCCAGUGUUUUCUAUAUCGGCCUCAA